UCAUGCAUUUUGAGGAACGUCUACAAUGACAGAAGCUGGAAAAUACAGAAUGUUUAUAUGAUUUACAGACAUAUUGCUAUUAAUGAUCAUUACUUCUGGAACACCAUCAACCAUUAACCAGUGGCUGAUUUUACCUGUAAUCCUAUUUUGUAUUCGUUCACUGAAGAUUUUAGUUUUUGGGUUUGUAAAUGUUUUAUCACUUUACUUUUAGUUUUAGUUUAGUAGUCUUAGUUUUCAUUAGCUAUAACGGUGCUUUCUGCUCGAUUUUGUAGAUUAGCGCCAAUAAAUUUCAGGUAAAUCUGUGUAGUAUACAGGCAAACAAAUCCAACUGAUGUGAUUUCCCAAAAAAUAUUAAUGCACAUUUAAAGAUUCCAACCAAGAAAUAUUAGAAAUAUCAAAAAGUUUUAUUAGUUUAAUUUUUUUUUUAUGCAUUUUGAGUAACGUCUACAAUGAUAAAAUCUGGAAAAUACAGAAUGAAAAUAGGAUUUACAGACAUAUUGUUUAUUAAUGAUCAUUAUUUGCAAAGCCAUCAGAUUUGGAACACCAUGAACCAUUUAGCCACAAUCCUAUUUUAUAGUUGUUCACUGAAGAUCUUAGUUUUGGGGUUUUUUUUAUGUUUUAUCACAUCUUAUUUUGUUACUUUUAGUUUUAGUUUAGUAGUCUUAGUUUUCAUUAGCUAUAACGGUGCUUUCUGCUCUUUUUCAUAGAUUAGUUCUAGUAGGUUUCAGGUAAAUCUGUGCAGUAUACAGGCAAACAAAUCCAACUGAUUCCAUGACUUUUCAAAAAAUAAUAAUGCAUAUUUAAAGAUUCCAACCAAGAAAUAUUAGAAAUAUCAAAAAGUUUUAUUAGUUUUAUUUUUUCAUGCAUUAUGAGGAACAUCUACAAUGAUAGAAUCUGGGAAAUACAGAAUGAAAAUAUGAUUUACAGCCAUAUUGUUUCUUAAUGAUCAUUACUUGCAAAGCCAUCAGAUUUGGAACACCAUGAACCAUUUACCUGCAAAUCUACUUUGUAUUUGUUCACUGAAGAUCUUAGUUUUGGGUUUUUUUAUGUUUUAUCACAUCUUAUUUUGUUACUUUUAGUUUUAGUUUAGUAGUCUUAGUUAUUAUUAGCUAUAACGGUACUUUCUGCUCCUUUUCGUGGAUUAGCUCGAGUAGGUUUCAGGUAAAUCUGUGUAGUAUACAGGCAAACAAAUCCAACUGAUGUGAUCUCCCAAAAAAUAAUAAUGCACAUUUAAAGAUUCCAACCAAGAAAUAUUCAAAAUGUCAGAAAUAAAAAGGCAGAGAAAUCACCGUUCAUGUUAGAAAUUAGGGUGAACUCAUGAAAAACCUGCAGAAUUGAACUGUAAUAACAGCCUGUAAAACAUCCACUCUAUUCUGAAACAGCACCAAAGGUAAUCUACAGUUACAGAUCAUUGGAAGCUGCAGUGUGGUUUAGAUUGAUUUUUAGCGGUGAAGGAAUCAAUCAGCCCUUUAUCACUCUUCAGUGUGAUGAAAAAGUGAAGUACAAACAAGUACUUUGUAACUCACUGUUGACACACAGCCUAUAGAGGGGUGCCUUAACAAUGACAUACUGUACAUUUCUAAUGAAACAUGGGUGUUAAGUGCCUUCAAUGAGUUUUAAUGCUUACUGUAAUUAGUCUGUUACCGCCCUUUUUUUUUUUUUUUUUUUAUGGAAUUUGCCUGUAAUCUUUCCUUUGUUUCAUUACCGUGUGUACAAUGUGAAUUUGGAAUCAUAUGCAUGCAACAUAUAGCUACAUUUACCAAUAGGAUUUUUUACUGUUCAUGUGUUGGCGUAUGCAGCACAUGUAUGAUAAGGUACAGUAUGUCGACACAUUUUGUUUUUAGCAGGACUCGCAGUGUGAAUACUGAAUGCUUUAAGAAUUCAAGAGACACAGAAGCACUUAUUCCACCCUGGCUUUAUCAUGUUUUCUAUCAAAUCACUUAUCUGUAAUGCUCUAAGUGGGAUUUCAGAUUUGUCAGGAGUUGCUUAUCUAAUAGGUUAUGAUUUGCUCCAUGUGCCUUCAUACAUAAUGGGACAUUUUUUUUGCGGUCAGUGUCUUCAUGAUUCUUCUCCACAGUGCAGACUGAUAAGAACUGAACAGACAAACCACAGCAUUUAUUCAAUUGGAAUUAGUCUGCCACUUUGUGUAGAUAGUGUUGCCGUGCAU